rnacentral:rRNA from 1 species
AGUGAACGCUGGCGGUAGGCCUAACACAUGCAAGUCGAACGGCAGCACAGUAAGAGCUUGCUCUUACGGGUGGCGAGUGGCGGACGGGUGAGGAAUACAUCGGAAUCUACUUUUUCGUGGGGGAUAACGUAGGGAAACUUACGCUAAUACCGCAUACGACCUACGGGUGAAAGCAGGGGAUCUUCUGACCUUGCGCGAUUGAAUGAGCCGAUGUCGGAUUAGCUAGUUGGCGGGGUAAAGGCCCACCAAGGCGACGAUCCGUAGCUGGUCUGAGAGGAUGGUCGGCCACACUGGAACUGAGACACGGUCCAGGCUCCUACGGGAGGCAGCAGUGGGGAAUAUUGGACAAUGGGCGCAAGCCUGAUCCAGCCAUACCGCGUGGGUGAAGAAGGCCUUCGGGUUGUAAAGCCCUUUUGUUGGGAAAGAAAAGCAGCAGGUUAAUACCCCGCUGUUCUGACGGUACCCAAAGAAUAAGCACCGGCUAACUUCGUG